rnacentral:rRNA from 1 species
UUUGAAUCAUGGCUCAGAGCGAACGCUGGCGGCAGGCCUAACACAUGCAAGUCGAACGAACUCUUCGGAGUUAGUGGCGGACGGGUGAGUAACACGUGGGAACGUGCCUUUAGGUUCGGAAUAACUCAGGGAAACUUGUGCUAAUACCGAAUGUGCCCUUCGGGGGAAAGAUUUAUCGCCUUUAGAGCGGCCCGCGUCUGAUUAGCUAGUUGGUGAGGUAAAGGCUCACCAAGGCGACGAUCAGUAGCUGGUCUGAGAGGAUGAUCAGCCACAUUGGGACUGAGACACGGCCCAAACUCCUACGGGAGGCAGCAGUGGGGAAUCUUGCGCAAUGGGCGAAAGCCUGACGCAGCCAUGCCGCGUGAAUGAUGAAGGUCUUAGGAUUGUAAAAUUCUUUCAGUAGGGACGAUAAUGACGGUAC